UGACCUCUCCUGCUUCUCCUUCAUGAGGGCAUUUUCCUUGUCCACAGAAAUGGGUCAGAUGUCAUUCAAUGCCUGCCUGACCGGGCCUCACAGGAGACCUGCUGGAUGGAGGAGAAGUUUGGAAGAUUCCAAAUGUGUACUCCACCUGUCAUCUGCCAAGAAUGCAGGAUCAGAAUUCCUCUGGAAGAGCCAUUUGUUCACAUUCGAUUUGCUCUCAGAUCUGAGCCAUUGGCGACUUUGCUCUUAGUGAGAGCUCAGUAAAUGUUUACUGCCUGACAUUUCUCAUCCCAUAUAACAAGAUGAAACCAGUGGGAAAGCGAGUCAUUCUUAUCAGCCAGCAUACUUUGAUUUUACAUGGUAAGUGGAGCAGCUGGGAUUUGUACCGAGGUUUUUGGAAGCCAACUUCAAUAGUCUUUCUCCUACAAAAUGAUACCUCCC
rnacentral:lncRNA from 1 species